rnacentral:tRNA from 1 species
GUCUGUGUGGCUCAGUUGGUGAAGCAUCUGACUUUGGCUCAGGUUAUGAUCUUGCAGUUUGUGAGUUCGAGCCUCGCGUCAGGCU